UACAGAGGGGGCAAGCGUUGUUCGGAAUUACUGGGCGUAAAGGGCUCGUAGGUGGCCAACUAAGUCAGACGUGAAAUCCCUCAGCUUAACUGGGGAACUGCGUCUGAUACUGGAUGGCUUGAGUUUGGGAGAGGGAUGCGGAAUUCCAGGUGUAGCGGUGAAAUGCGUAGAUAUCGUAAGGAAGACCAGUGGCGAAGGCGGGUCUCUGGACAGUUCCUGACGCUGAGGCACGAAGGCCAGGGGAGCAAACGGG
rnacentral:rRNA from 1 species